AUGUUAUCAGGCGAAACAUCUUGGAUCAGGUGGAACCUUUGCACAGCCAGAAAAAUGGAAGAUUGCAGCUGACUUACAAACUGUUGCAAAAAAAAUAUGUAACGGGAGCCCUGUUGUACCUGUGAGGGAAGACAAACAUGCCUGUGAAGCCGCAAUCACCUCUCUUGCCUGGUAGAAAAUGGUGUCAUGCUGCUAAGAGGAUGCAAAUGGAUAACAACAGCUCGCAGCAUGGCCAAGGUCUUAUGGAGAUGAAGGCAUAAAUUCUGAGCUGCUGCAGGGGAUACGUAACGGGAGCCCUGCUGUACUUGUGAGGGAAGACAAAUGUGCCUGUGAAGCCACAAUCUCCUCUCUGGUCUGGUAGAAAAUGGUGUCAUGCUUGCUUAGAGCCUUUAACCAGGUUUCGGACCAGUCCCCCUUCUCUCAUCAGUCUAUGCUUGCACACAUUACGGUGAUCCCUAAGGAGGAGGUGUAUUCGUUUGUGCCCCGGUCAAUGCACAUUUUCUAAAGUUAAAACACAUCCUUACAAUACCCGGCCUGCCUUAGAAUGCCCUCUUCUACCCCGUCCAAUCAUCCUGUUACAAGAAGGUCAAAGUAAGAGAACUGCAUGCACUCACUUUUCCUGCAAUGAACAGAGUGAAACCCUGCAGCUUCCGCUAUGAAAACUAGUGUAGCACUCACUCUGCAUCUGCUCCAAAUUGCCUUCGGACUACAACAAUCAGAAGAGCUUUUGGAUCUUCUGACAAGAACGGAAGCACUUACUGUCCCAAAAUGCAAGGUACACAGCAUUGUGAACAGAAAAGCCAACGUUGUACUGGAUUAAUGAAAACGUUAAG